UGGGGAAUAUUGCACAAUGGAGGGAACUCUGAUGCAGCGACGCCGCGUGAGUGAUGAAGGAAUUCGUUUCGUAAAACUCUGUUCUAUGGGAAGAAAAGGACUGUACCAUAGGAGAAAGCUCCGGCUAAAUACGUGCCAGCAGCCGCGGUAAUACGUAUGGAGCGAGCGUUGUCCGGAAUUAUUGGGCGUAAAGGGUGCGCAGGCGGCUUUACAAGUUGGAUGUGAAAUAUUGUGGCUCAACCACAAACGUGCAUCCAAAACUGCACAGCUUGAGUAAAGGAGAGGUAAGUGGAAUUCCUGGUGUAGCGGUGGAAUGCGUAGAUAUCAGGAGGAAUACCGGUGGCGCAGGCGACUUACUGGACUUAAACUGACGCUCAGGCACGAAAGCGUGGGGAGCAAACAGG
rnacentral:rRNA from 1 species